rnacentral:rRNA from 1 species
AUUGAACGCUGGCGGCAGGCCUAACACAUGCAAGUCGAGCGGAUGACGGGAGCUUGCUCCUUGAUUCAGCGGCGGACGGGUGAGUAAUGCCUAGGAAUCUGCCUGGUAGUGGGGGACAACGUUUCGAAAGGAACGCUAAUACCGCAUACGUCCUACGGGAGAAAGCAGGGGACCUUCGGGCCUUGCGCUAUCAGAUGAGCCUAGGUCGGAUUAGCUAGUAGGUGAGGUAAUGGCUCACCUAGGCGACGAUCCGUAACUGGUCUGAGAGGAUGAUCAGUCACACUGGAACUGAGACACGGUCCAGACUCCUACGGGAGGCAGCAGUGGGGAAUAUUGGACAAUGGGCGAAAGCCUGGUCCAGCCAUGCCGCGUGUGUGAAGAAGGUCAUCGGAUUGUAAAGCACUUUAAGUUGGGAGGAAGGGCAGUAAGCUAAUACCUUGCUGUUUUGACGUUACCGACAGAAUAAGCACCGGCUAACUCUGUGCCAGCAGCCGCCGCAGUAA